AAGUAUUGCAUAUUUAAUACUUUGCCCUUUGUAAUAUAGCACUUUUAUUUAACUAGGAUGAUCUAUGAAAUAGCCAAAGUUUUACAGUUGUUAACUUAGUUUGCUGAUGGAGCACAUCAACAAUACCAUCACUUCCCACCCUUACCCCACAAAAGAAAUCUUAAAUCUUGUGGCUAAAACCUAAUUUAUAUCAGAUUUAUGAAAUAAAGUAUUUUCCUAAUUAUGCUCAAGUGAGUUUGGUUACCAUUCUAGUGAUUCUUUCUAUGUAAUAAGGCAAUUAUAGUUCCAAGUAAUGAAGGCUGGUGUAGACUUGAACAUAAUAUAUUGGGUUUAUUUUUCAUCAGUUUGAACCAGAAGGGGAAAAAUGUCCCACUGUCAGCUAGACUAUAUGCAAAAGCGGUUGUAUAAAGUUAAGGGUUAUAAGGAAACCUCAGUAGAAUUACACUAAUACUGAAGUUAAGAUUAAAAGGAUAUCCAAGGUGAUGAUAAAGUGUGUGUUGGUAGUUACUAAAAGAACCUUAGCUGUUAUUGCCUUGUAUUUCUAUCCCUUGUUUCAAGCUUCAUGAUCCAAGUCUUAGUCCAGUUUUUCUUUUGGACAUUUGCAAUAUUUGCCAGUUGUGUUCUGUGUAGUCUGAAUUUGCUUUCUGUAGUUGAACAAGCGUCUUAAAAAGUCAUUUGUAAUUUAUUGAAUUACUUUCUAUGAUGUUCUAUAGAGCAAAUGGAAGUUUAAUUAUUUUUUAUUAAACAUAUUCUUUGACUACCCAUGAUGUCAGCCUCAAUAUGUAAAAAGUAAUGCUGUGUAAGGAUUAGAUAUGCAUCUUUGAGCAGCCAAAGUUAAGCUUCACUGUUAAGGUCUAGAACUGAAAUUACUCUCAAGACCUUAGAAAAAUCAAGCCUAGGAUGUCUACUUUUCUGCAAAACCAAAUGUCUUACUUCGAGUAUCUUUUCUGGGAAUCAGUUUUAAUCAAUUUCCUGUAAUUCUGUUGUCUUAGAAGCAAAAGGAGCUGAUGCUGCAGCUCUUGGGUAGUUGUGGCGAGGGAGUAGUAUACAGUCAAGGCUCUGGUAGAAUGUUGACUUGAUAUGAAAUAAUGAUGCAUUUAAUGUUCCAGGAUAAGCAUUCUGGAAGUGGGCUGCCUUUUUGUGUUUUUAUUUUCAAAACUCUGCUUUACUUUUUUACGUGUUUAUUGAAUCUCUUAAGUUUGGGCACAGCACUUACUGUUUGUCAUUUAUUUCAUACAGGGUGCGGAUGCUUCUCCCGAAUGCAGAUUAUCUCCUGGUUGUCAGGUGCUUUCUUGUUUUCAGUACAUCAUUGCGCUUCAGUUGUGCUCUCUCAGUAGACACCACAAGAAGGAAAGUAAGUUCAGAAUUCUCAUUGCUGUUCAGAUUGAAGCUGAAAACUUCACAUUAUCACUGGUCUUCAUCCACUGAGGCUGACAGUGAAAUAGCAAGUGUUGGAAUAUUCCUGGUAAAGUUUUGCACGUUGGCAAAAAGACAUCAGAAGUAUCAGGAGACUGCACUGGGAAGAUCCCAGGGAGAAUACUGGAAGGAAGGUUUCUUUGAUGCAUAUCAUUUUUUCCUACACAAAAAUUUCUGAGAUUGUAUAAUCUUAGAUCUCUCUUACUAGGCGGCAGGCUUUGGUAUCUAGCCUUAUCUGGGAGUCCACCUUAUUUCUCAGGAGGUAAACAACAUUAGCCACUCCUAGCGAAAGUGACUGAAACUUCUUAUUUGGGAGCAGCAUACUUAAGGCCUGUGCUGUUACUACAGCUGUUUUGCCUCAAUAUUUUGCUACGCUUUUCUUACUUUUUGAUACAAAACUGUAGCUUCUUAUCCAAUUUACCAGGAUAGAAAUAAAAUGGAAUCCUGUCGUGAAAAUGAUUCAAGCAAUUAACAACAACAACAAAAA